rnacentral:rRNA from 1 species
UACGUAGGGGGCAAGCGUUGUCCGGAUUUAUUGGGCGUAAAGAGCGUGUAGGCGGCCAGGUAGGUCAGCUGUGAAAACUCGAGGCUCAACCUCGAGACGCCGAUGGAAACCAUGUGGCUAGAGUCCGGAAGAGGAGAGUGGAAUUCCUGGUGUAGCGGUGAAAUGCGCAGAUAUCAGGAAGAACACCCGUGGCUAAGGCGGCUCUCUAGUACGGUACUGACGCUGAGACGCGAAAGCGUGGGGAGCAAACAGG